CUUGAGGCCUCGCCCCGGCCGGGCCCCGCCGCUUCCUCGCGGGCUCCCAGGGCCCGGUCCCAGCCCGGGCUGGGCGAGGAGAGACCGAAGCCUGGAGGUCGAGACCCGGAGGCCGAGGCCCGGCCGGGAUUUGCGGCGAGGCGGCCCCGGGGAGGCCGGAGCAGGACCCGCCGCAGAAUCAGACAUUUCACUGAAGGCGCCGUUCACUUCCUCAGAGGGAGCGUGGCCGUCAUGCUGUGAGGAGCCUCCGUGA
rnacentral:lncRNA from 1 species